rnacentral:lncRNA from 1 species
GACAAGGCUUGACGCUGUAUACGAAAAUUGUAGACAAUGUUGAAUGGCACGUGGAAAUGCUAGUUCAUCGCGCUUUAAAUCUUCACAGCAGAACUUCACAGGAAAUCAAAAAGUCUUUAAAAUCUUACGUGGUCUCACGUGGCCUCAAGUCGUUGCACGCGCGUGAUGAACUUAUGGGCCUUCGGCUGCGCCUUCCAUCCUCAUUCAAUCAAUUUGGUUCGGUCCUCCAUCCUACCAGGUUCGCCGGCACUCCUCAGCAUCUCACGUUCAGGCCGCUGGCUGGCCGCUGGUUUCACUAGCGCUGAACGUGACAUGUUAAGUAUUUUGGCGAACAGCUCUUCGGCCAAGACUGCUGUGGUCAUCUGCAAGGAAAAUCGAAAGGCGUAACCAACAAAGCGCCGAACUCCAGCCGGGUCCUAUUACUGUGGCUACCAUUGCCUGGUAUAUGAGUGUCGAUCAUUUCCAACAGUUCAUAUGGGCUCCAUGCAACUUCUGAACCCGCUUGUGCACAUGCGUGCUCACGCAACCUUGCCCUUUCACGAAGGCCGCCCCUUGGCAAGGAGACGAGAGCCGUAAUCUCCUUCGUCUCGCUGCACUCGGACGAGGGCAAGCACUGAUUCACAUGCGCCCAGUAUCUCGUUGCCAUGCGCGGUCAUUCCUUCGAGUUUCCUGAGCACCCUCAAAAGAGCACCCUCAAUGCCAUAGCGGCGUGUGCACCAUAACAGUAGGGAAUACCAUACAUACGGGAUAUGGAAGAUACUGCUUGCCGAUGGCGGUGGAGGAUAUGCACCCCGAUACAGGUCGGAUUUUAAGUUAGCCCCUUUUAGCGUCUUUGUCCACAAAGUAAUCAGUGUCGAUCAUGCACGCCCGUGCACUGUAAACAUUAAUGAAUUCGGAUCAUCGUUUGGGGUGCUUUAAUAAUUUAAUGCAAGUGAUGAAAGGCGGAACACCCGAUCCUCAGCCACCAUGAGGGGGAAACUUGGGAGAGGCCUCGGAACGAUUAAUGAUAGAGGAGCACUGCUAUGGACUUAAAAUGCGGCUGUAAUAGCUGCUGGCAGCAGGAAAAAGCAGCUCAAGAUGAUGGAGGUGCAGGUGCACGUAAGCGUGUAUGUGUAUGAGCCCUUAUGGAGCACUGGCGGAAAGCUAUUUUUUCGUGUGUGCCGUACCGUACGACAGCUACUGCAACGACGUACGUGAUGGAUACACCUGCCAGCCACAUGCAGGCCUGCAUAUUUCCCUGCCGUAGUUGGGAGCCGCUGCAGAGUGCUCGGGAGUCGGGACCCUGACGGGGUUUCCUACCUAGAGCUACCUAGAAAGUUAGACGGAUCGAUGAAGAAAGAGCUGGAUGCCUUGGGACGUUCUGAUUCAUGUCGUUUUUUGAGGGCACACUGGGAAUCUUGAUUAACCAGGUUGAACAACAACAGCAAGAAGCGCGCAUCGGUUGGAGCCUGGUUGGUGUGCCUGUCACCGGGCACCCUCACCAUUUAGAAAUCACACUGUCGCCGUCAGGCCCUGAAACGGACGCGCCACAAGUUCAGGACACGGUAUAAAGGGAGUUCCUCUAUGUUGUUAAGGAAAAGGUCGGGAGCUGAGCUGCAGUGGUCAUGCUGCCACUCUUCGCCAGCUAGCUUAGCCGAAUGCAGCAAAUCCAUCUGAGCGCGGUGAGCCCAUGUGAGCUUGUGAGCCUGCUCGCAAGCGUGUUGCCCUCACUACUUCGUGACCAGAGAAGUCGAAUCGAACAAAUGCCCUGCCGGUGAGAGGAGUCGAGCAUUUCACAGGGCUUGGAGGGAGGGUGGAACCGUUCUAGUGACUGUGUGGAGGGUGCUCAUGAAGAUGCUGAGGUGGCUGACUCGUAUGGACCACGAUUCGCCACUUUUCUGGAAUAGAGUCUGUUUCAGCUAAGUCCAGUCAGCCGUCCUUUGAACUGGAUUUUGGGACAAGCCGUACGAUCUGCACGACUUGUCAGUUUAUGUCUCUUUAAAGCUCCUGCUGAGAGCUGAGUUAGUUGUCCGCCU